CCUACGGGAGGCAGCAGUGAGGAAUAUUGGUCAAUGGGCGUAAGCCUGAACCAGCCAAGUCGCGUGAAGGAUGAAGGUUCUAUGGAUCGUAAACCUCUUUUAUAAGGGAAUAAAAUGUGGGACGUGUCCUAUUUUGUAUGUACCUUAUGAAUAAGGAUCGGCUAACUCCGUGCCAGCAGCCGCGGUAAUACGGAGGAUCCGAGCGUUAUCCGGAUUUAUUGGGUUUAAAGGGUGCGUAGGCGGCCUUUUAAGUCAGGGGUGAAAGUCUGUGGCUCAACCAUAGAAUUGCCGUUGACACUGGGGGGCUUGAGUAGGUUUGAGGAAGGCGGAAGGCGUGGUGUAGCGGUGAAAUGCUUAGAUAGCACGAAGAACCCCGAUUGCGAAGGCAGCUUGCUAAGCCAUGACUGACGUUGAUGCACGAAAGUGUGGGGAUCAAACAGGAUUAGAUACCCCUGUAGUC
rnacentral:rRNA from 1 species